GAGUUUGAUCCUGGCUCAGGAUGAACGCUGGCGGCGUGCUUAACACAUGCAAGUCGAACGGGAAUUACUUUAUUGAAACUUCGGUCGAUAUGAUUUAAUUCUAGUGGCGGACGGGUGAGUAACGCGUGGGUAACCUGCCUUAUACAGGGGGAUAACAGUCAGAAAUGACUGCUAAUACCGCAUAAGCGCACAGGACCGCAUGGUCCGGUGUGAAAAACUCCGGUGGUAUAAGAUGGACCCGCGUUGGAUUAGCUAGUUGGUGAGGUAACGGCCCACCAAGGCGACGAUCCAUAGCCGGCCUGAGAGGGUGAACGGCCACAUUGGGACUGAGACACGGCCCAGACUCCUACGGGAGGCAGCAGUGGGGAAUAUUGCACAAUGGGGGAAACCCUGAUGCAGCGACGCCGCGUGAAGGAAGAAGUAUCUCGGUAUGUAAACUUCUAUCAGCAGGGAAGAAAAUGACGGUACCUGACUAAGAAGCCCCGGCUAACUACGUGCCAGCCGCCGCGGUAAUUC
rnacentral:rRNA from 1 species